rnacentral:rRNA from 1 species
AAGUACCUACGGGACGCAGCAGUGAGGAAUAUUGGUCAAUGGGCGCGAGCCUGAACCAGCCAAGUAGCGUGAAGGAUGACUGCCCUACGGGUUGUAAACUUCUUUUAUAAAGGAAUAAAGUGAGGCACGUGUGCCUUUUUGUAUGUACUUUAUGAAUAAGGAUCGGCUAACUCCGUGCCAGCAGCCGCGGUAAUACGGAGGAUCCGAGCGUUAUCCGGAUUUAUUGGGUUUAAGGGGGCGUAGGUGGGUUGUUAAGUCAGUU